rnacentral:rRNA from 1 species
GACGAACGCUGGCGGCGUGCUUAACACAUGCAAGUCGAACGGGAUCCAAAGGCUUUUUGUUUUUGGUGAGAGUGGCGAACGGGUGAGUAACACGUGAGUAACCUGCCCCCUUCUUUUGGAUAACCGCAUGAAAGUGUGGCUAAUACAGGAUAUUCCAGGCUGGUCGCAUGAUUGGUUUGGGAAGUGGUUUGGUCUGGUGGGGGAUGGGCUCGCGGCCUAUCAGCUUGUUGGUGGGGUGAUGGCCUACCAAGGCGGUGACGGGUAGCCGGCCUGAGAGGGUGGCGGGUCAAACUGGGAGUGAGAUACGGCCCAGACUCCUACGGGAGGCAGCAGUGGGGGAUUUUGCACAAUGGGCGUAAGCCUGAUGCAGCGACGCCGCGUGAGGGAUGAAGGCCUUCGGGUUGUAAACCUCUUUCGCUGGGUUGAAAGGCCAUGCUUUGGGUGUGGUUGAUUUGAACUGGUAAAGAAGUACCGGCUAACUACGUG